UACGGAAGGCAGCAGUGGGGAAUAUUGCACAAUGGGCGCAAGCCUGAUGCAGCCAUGCCGCGUGUAUGAAGAAGGCCUUCGGGUUGUAAAGUACUUUCAGUCGUGAGGAAGGUGUUAAGGUUAAUAACCUUAGCAAUUGACGUUAGCGACAGAAGAAGCACCGGCUAACUCCGUGCCAGCAGCCGCGGUAAUACGGAGGGUGCGAGCGUUAAUCGGAAUUACUGGGCGUAAAGGGCACGCAGGCGGUUAAUUAAGUUGGAUGUGAAAUCCCCGGGCUUAACCUGGGAAUGGCAUUCAAGACUGGUUAGCUAGAGUCUUGUAGAGGGGGUAGAAUUCCAUGUGCAGCGGUGAAAUGCGUAGAGAUGUGGAGGAAUACCGGUGGCGAAGGCGGCCCCUGGGACAAAGACUGACGCUCAUGUGCGAAAGCGUGGGGAGCGAAACAGGAUUAGGAUA
rnacentral:rRNA from 1 species